rnacentral:rRNA from 1 species
GACGAACGCUGGCGGCGUGCUUAACACAUGCAAGUCGAACGAAGAGCGCUGGAUGCUGUCUUCUGUCCGUCUUAGUGGCGAACGGGUGAGUAACGCGUAAUCAACCUGCCCUUCAGGGGGGAACAACAGUUGGAAACGACUGCUAAUACCGCAUACGACCCAUUCUCGGUAUCGGGUCUGGAUGAACGGUGGCCUCUAUUUAUAAGCUAUCACUGCAGGAUGGUAUUGCGUCUGAUGAGUUAGUUGGAGGGGUAACGGCGCACGAUGGCGAUGAUCAGUAGCCGGACUGAGAGGAUGAGCGGCCACAUUGAGACGGUGACACGGCCCAUACGCCUACGGGAGGCAGCAGUGGGGAAUCUGGCGCAAUAGAUGAGAGUCUGACGGAGAAACGCCGCGUGAGUGAUGACGGACUUCGGGUUGGAAAGCUCUGUUAAUCGGGAGGAAUCGUUUUUGUGCUAAGAGUGCGAGGAUGUGACGGUACUGGAAUAGAAAGCCACGGCUAACUACGUG